GGAUUCUGUUGCUAGGUUACCAAAUAGAGAAGGAAAUAGGGCUGAGAUUUGUGAACUUCUUAAAGAUUCACAGUUUCUUGCACCAGGAAAUACUGAUGCACAGAUCAACGUUGUUGUAAGUGGAGCUCUUGAUAGGCUUCAUUCAGAGAAGGACCCUUGUGUAAAGUAUGAUGUCAACAGUAAAGUAUGGAUCUAUCUGCAUAGAAAUAGAACUGAGGAAGAAUUUUAAAAAAUCCACCAAGCACAAGCUGCUGCACAAAAGGCUAAGAAAUCGCUUGCUAAGCAAAAAACAUCAAA